GCCGCCGCGGUAAUACGUAGGGUGCAAGCGUUAUCCGGAAUUAUUGGGCGUAAAGGGCUCGUAGGCGGUUCGUCGCGUCCGGUGUGAAAGUCCAUCGCUUAACGGUGGAUUCGCGCCGGGUACGGGCGGGCUUGAGUGCGGUAGGGGAGACUGGAAUUCCCGGUGUAACGGUGGAAUGUGUAGAUAUCGGGAAGAACACCAAUGGCGAAGGCAGGUCUCUGGGCCGUUACCGACGCUGAGGAGCGAAAGCGUGGGGAGCGAACAGGAUUAGAUACCCUGGUAGUCCACGCCGUAAACGGUGGAUGCUGGAUGUGGGGCCCGUUCCACGGGUUCCGUGUCGGAGCUAACGCGUUAAGCAUCCCGCCUGGGGAGUACGGCCGCAAGGCUAAAACUCAAAGAAAUUGACGGGGGCCCGCACAAGCGGCGGAGCAUGCGGAUUAAUUCGAUGCAACGCGAAGAACCUUACCUGGGCUUGACAUGUUCCCGACGAUCCCAGAGAUGGGGUUUCCCUUCGGGGCGGGUUCACAGGUGGUGCAUGGUCGUCGUCAGCUCGUGUCGUGAGAUGUUGGGUUAAGUCCCGCAACGAGCGCAACCCUCGCCCCGUGUUGCCAGCGGAUUGUGCCGGGAACUCACGGGGGACCGCCGGGGUUAACUCGGAGGAAGGUGGGGAUGACGUCAGAUCAUCAUGCCCCUUACGUCCAGGGCUUCACGCAUGCUACAAUGGCCGGUACAACGGGAUGCGACGCGGCGACGCGGAGCGGAUCCCUGAAAACCGGUCUCAGUUCGGAUCGCAGUCUGCAACUCGACUGCGUGAAGGCGGAGUCGCUAGUAAUCGCGAAUCAGCAACGUCGCGGUGAAUGCGUUCCCGGGCCUUGUACACACCGCCCGUCAAGUCAUGAAAGUGGGCAGCACCCGAAGCCGGUGGCCUAACCCCUUGUGGGAUGGAGCCGUCUAAGGUGAGGCUCGUGAUUGGGACUAAGUCGUAACAAGGUAACCAAUCGA
rnacentral:rRNA from 1 species